rnacentral:rRNA from 1 species
CACGUAGGGUGCGAGCGUUAAUCGGAAUUACUGGGCGUAAAGCGUGCGCAGGCGGCUUCGCAAGUCAGGCGUGAAAUCCCCGGGCUUAACCUGGGAAUGGCGUCUGAAACUACGGAGCUGGAGUGUGGCAGAGGGAGGUAGAAUUCCACGUGUAGCGGUGAAAUGCGUAGAUAUGUGGAGGAAUACCGAUGGCGAAGGCAGCCUCCUGGGCCAACACUGACGCUCAUGCACGAAAGCGUGGGGAGCAAACAGG